CGGGGCCGCACAAGCGUGGAGCAUGUGGUUUAAUUCGAAGCAACGCGCAGAACCUUACCAGCUCUUGACAUGUCCCGUAUGGGUUUCAGAGAUGAGACCCUUCAGUUCGGCUGGCGGGAACACAGGUGCUGCAUGGCUGUCGUCAGCUCGUGUCGUGAGAUGUUGGGUUAAGUCCCGCAACGAGCGCAACCCUCGGCCUUAGUUGCCAUCAUUCAGUUGGGCACUCUAAGGCGACUGCCGGUGAUAAGCCGGAGGAAGGUGGGGAUGACGUCAAGUCCUCAUGGCCCUUACGGGCUGGGCUACACACGUGCUACAAUGGCGGUGACAGAGGGAUGCGACGGGCGCGAGCCUUGGCAAAUCUCAAAAAAGCCGUCUCAGUUCGGAUUGGGGUCUGCAACUCGACCCCAUGAAGUUGGAAUCGCCAGUAAUCGCGGAUCAGCACGCCGCGGUGAAUACGUUCCCGGGCCUU
rnacentral:rRNA from 1 species